AUUGAACGCUGGCGGCAUGCUUUACACAUGCAAGUCGAACGGUAACAGGGAGCUUGCUCCGCUGACGAGUGGCGAACGGGUGAGUAAUAUAUCGGAACGUGCCCAAGAGUGGGGGAUAACGUAGCGAAAGUUACGCUAAUACCGCAUACGAUCCAAGGAUGAAAGCAGGGGACCUUCGGGCCUUGUGCUCCUGGAGCGGCCGAUAUCUGAUUAGCUAGUUGGUGAGGUAAAGGCUCACCAAGGCGACGAUCAGUAGCUGGUCUGAGAGGACGACCAGCCACACUGGAACUGAGACACGGUCCAGACUCCUACGGGAGGCAGCAGUGGGGAAUUUUGGACAAUGGGGGCAACCCUGAUCCAGCAAUGCCGCGUGAGUGAAGAAGGCCUUCGGGUUGUAAACCACUGUCAGUGGGAAAGAAGGGUGUUGGCGCGAUAACCGCUGACAUCUGACGGUACCUGCAGAGGAAGCCCCGGCCAACUUCGUGCCAGCAGCCGCUGUAA
rnacentral:rRNA from 1 species